rnacentral:tRNA from 1 species
GGCCCCUUAGCUCAGCGGUUAGAGCAGCGGACUCAUAAUCCGUUGGUCGUAGGUUCAAAUCCUACAGGGGCCA